rnacentral:rRNA from 1 species
GACGUAGGGGGCGAGCGUUGUCCGGAAUUAUUGGGCGUAAAGCGCGCGUAGGCGGCCCGCUAAGUCGAACGUGAAAUCCCCGAGCUCAACUCGGGAACUGCGUCCGAUACUGGCGGGCUUGAAUCCGGGAGAGGGAUGCGGAAUUCCAGGUGUAGCGGUGAAAUGCGUAGAUAUCUGGAGGAACACCGGUGGCGAAGGCGGCAUCCUGGACCGGCAUUGACGCUGAGGCGCGAAAGCGUGGGGAGCAAACAGG